GGCAAUUCUAAGACUUGAAGGAGACCGUUGCUUCUUGGCGGCACGGAGAUGCAUUAUAUAGUUGAAAUAUUCGAUUUUUUUGAAAAAAUUCUGGCUAUUCCACGAAAACCUCUGAUUUUUCUGUUGACCAAUCUGAUUAUUUUAAUUUUCUGUUAAGGUACCUGAUUACUCUGCUGAAAAUUCUGAUUUCUGACUGAAAAAUCUUACCACUCCGCUGAAGAUUCAGAUUCUUCUACUAAAAAAUCUGACUGCUCUGCUGAAAAUUUUUCGUCUUUCGGCGAGAAGAUCUUACUACCACGGUGAAAAAUUCUGAUUACAGCUGGAACAUUCGAUUUUCUUACUGAAAAAUUUGACUGACGCAUGAGAAUUCUGGAAUUUCUGCUGAAAUUCUGACUCCUCUUACUGAGAAACCUUAUUGCUUCGCAAAAAUUUCGAAUUCUCUUCUAAGUAGUUUACUAACUUGCUGUAAAUUUUUAUUUUUUUUUAUUUUUUUGUUUUAUGAAAAGUCUAAUUGGCUUGCUGAAAAUUUUAAUUUUCUGGCUGAGAAACCAAGUUACUCCGCUGAAAAUUUUGAUUUAUCUACUGAAAAAUCUUGAUUGGUUCGAUGAAGAAUUUAUUUUCUAGCCAAAACAUCUGAAUAUCCCGCUGAAAAUUCCAAUAUUUCGAUUGAAAAAUCUAGCUGCUCUGCUCAAAAGUUUACUUUUUCUGCGCGGGAUUCUGACUACCUUGAUGAAAAAUCUUGGUUUUUCCGACAAGAAGUUCCGAUUGCCUCGCUGAAAGUUCUGAUUUUUCUACUGAAAAAUCUUGAUUUUUCGGGCUGAAAACUUCGAUUGCCUUGCUGAAGAUUAUGAUUUUCCUGCUGACAAAUCCUGAUUUUUCGUUGAAAAAUUCUGAUAUUUGUGCUGAAAAUUGUGAUUGCUCCAACAAAACUUUGGAAUUUUCUACUGAAAAUUCUGACUAUUUCCCUCUUUUAUGGGUUUUGAUUGCUUCUCUCCUGAUCUAAAUGCUUAUAGUUCAUUUUUGAAAUUCUUGAUAACUAGAGACUUGUUAUUGUUGAUAUUUUCUUCAUGCAUUCCCAAGGUGUGGAAGAUUCUCUUUGUCCUCUUUUCUUCAUUUGAAGCCUUCUUUGCUUCAUUAUGGAUUUGCAGAUGAACCGAGCUGCUUCUCUUCACGAGGUAUCUUAUUAUCUACUAGCAAACUUUGAAUGAGAACCAGUCCCUUUGCGAGUUUGGUGCCAUACAUCUUGUUCCUAGUCAUCAGCUGCUGCUGUAUGCUCACAACAGUUAUUGCCUGAGCUGGCUGUAGCGAUAGUUCUUUCUGAUCGUAGAGCUUCUUAAUCUGGCAGAAUUUGUUGUAUAGCUUCAUUUGGGUUCAGGCUUAUUGUUACUGAUUCACUUAUUUAAACUUUGCGAAUUCCUAUGUGCUUUUCAUCCUCUCCACUGACUAUUAUACCAAAUUUUGUAACAAACCGGGUGGCAACUUACUGUUGCAAAGCUGGACUUUUGUACUCCGAAUUAUUAUGCAGGCUGGUAGGAAAAUGCUUUGAUCAGACUACUUCCAUCGAUCAGAAUAGAGCAGGGACCUUUAUUUCCUCUAUCUUCAAGAUCAUGACAUCCUAGGGGGUCAAGUAUCGCUUUGACAUGUUAUCAAUCACAAAUAUACUCUUUCUUCCGCUGAAAUAGCUAUCGAAAGAGGGGACUGCUGUCCUCAUGUUGCCGAGGGUGUUUCGUUAUCACAAGAAUCAGCUCGCUAGAGUGCUUGAUUGCACAUGUUAUAAUUUAUGACAUCGUCAAUUCAAGUUUUUGCAUCUGAAGGUUGCCAAAAUCCAUCAAAACGAAGUGAACUAUCUGAGCAACACCCUUGGCAUUUUACAGUCAUGACCUUCCCUACUGAAGAGGUAGUGCUUUAUAAGACCAGGAACAAAUCAGUAUAUUAAUGCUUAGUCUUAUCAGAAUAAAUGAGUGCUCACAGAUCAACAGAUUUAAGACUAUAGGUUCUCGCAGGAGCUUGUGAUCUCCAGCUUAAUUGCUCUACUUUCUAGGCACUUCAUGGGCAUAGGACGAGCUAAUGUUGUUCUUGGUGCCAGAAGUUUUUCCAUCCAUUCUCCAUCAAAAUUGCUCUAGAAUAUUUAUUUUAAAGGAGAAUGUAACCAGAAGAGAUGGCCAAGAUCACUAAUAAGCAUAAACUGUAUUGAACCUGUCUAUCCACGAGCUGUUGUGUGCUUGAUGUGUACUUGCCUGCUUGAUGGCACAUACCAUAAAGCAGCUACACCAGGUAUUUUUGAAGGUCUAGCAACAUUUUUCAAACCUUUAGAUCCGAAACUGUUGUUGCUUUCCUAUCUACAUAUUGCUGACAGGACGACUAAGUAGCUUGUAUUACCAGACCAUUUGAAGGUUUUCUGGCAGAUUAUUUUCUGAGUUUUUGACCCUUGCAUUGUGAUCUUAUUGUAUUCAUAGUCACUCGUUGCAGAACUCUUAUCAUCUGAACUUGUGCUUAGGAGGAUUUCCAUGAAACUUAUGAGUAGUUGAGUACCACUAAGAAAGCAGUCCUGCUUUCAAAAUUGAGCUGAUGCUGAUGCUCAGAUAAUAGGCCGCAAAUAUGUCCAUUCUCCCUCAAAAAUGCUACGGAAUAUUUAUUUUGAAAGAGAAUGGAGGCGAAAGAAGAUGCCAAGAUUGCCUGUAAGUUUCUGCUAGGUUGAACUUCUUAUCCUCGAAAAUGCUGCGUACCUGACCAUCAAUAUGGUAGCUUGCAUAUUCCGGAUUGAAGGAUUCUAACUGCUCGUACUCUUGUAAUUUGGAUCCUUAUGAAGAUAGGAACACCUUGCUGAAUAUCUGACCGUUCAGAGUCACUAGACAACUUUACCAAAAGCUAUGUUCUGUUGGUGGUACCUCUGGUAUUUCCCACGCAGCUACUAGUAUGUGAAAUUUUUUCAUACGCACAAGUCUGCUGCUUGAGGACAAUUUCCUUUGAAUAAUUUUGCUGCAGGUCAGGUUUUAUGAUCCAAUUCGAAAACCUUAAUCAUUAGCAGGCUGUACAUGGGGCUCUUAGCCUGCGAAUCAUUUCCUGUGAGCUAAUCUGUACACUCUCUGCCUUUUAUCAACCUGCUUCUGCAAGAUCAGGUCAUGUUUUUGGUGAGAUGCCGAAUUACUUCUUACUCAUCAAAGCGGUAGGGCUCUUGAUUUUAUAUUGGCUUAUACUUUGCUCCCUUUACAUUGUGAAUUAUGAAAUCACAACCAUAAUCUUUGUUGCUGCUUUCAUUGCUCGAAUAUACCCAUCAUGGAACCUGUUUGUUGUUAUCUUAUCAAUAAGACGUGAGGGAUGUGCUGUUGCUGAUAAGUGGUUUAUUUGACCACUUAUUAUGGUGAUUUUAACCCAAUUUUGCAAUCUUUUCCCUUAUUUUUCUUACCCGUUUUGUAUAUAAAUGUUGUAUCGUGGCUUUGCCACCUCUUUGUAUGUGUUUGUCCAUGAUUUGCAGGUGUUAUGACUUACUUUGACAAGCAAUCAAUGCUCGUAGAAGAGCUUAGAGCAAGGCAAUAAUGAAGGGAGAGCCCGCUCCUAGAGGAGUGGGCGUGCACCUCUCCCGGAGUAGGCGCUCCUCCGUGACAACAACAUUCUGACCCUGUGAGGAGCGGGCGUGCUCCCGAGUUGGAGCGGGCCCUCCUAACUGUUGUGCUAGAAUCUGCCUUAAUCAUGAAGCAAGGAGGACCCGGCAUGCACCCUCCUUGGAGCGUGCGCUUCUCCCCUACAACUUGAAUCUUCCAUCUGCUGAAGAACAGGGGAGCGGGUGCUCCUUGCUGCCAUCGUCGAAUCUGCCUCUAUCUGAAGCUAAGAGGAGCGGGCGUGCAGAUUUCAGGAGCGGGCGCUCCUAGCUGGAAAUCCAUUUUCUUUUGAUGGAUUAACCUAUGCAAUUCGGGGAGUAUAAACCCCUUUAGUUCAUUUUAAAACAGACAUCAGUAGCAUAGUUCUUAGCAACUUUCUUCUAGUUUGGAACAAUCAUCUUUGGUAUUUUAGCUUAGAAAUCCUCAAAUUAAUCGUUAUAGUAGCAAGUUUCAAAGAUUAUUCUCAAGAUUCAACCUUUGUACUCAACAUUUGAAGCUUCAAUUAGUAACUUCUUUCACAUUUCUCUAUUUAA